rnacentral:rRNA from 1 species
UACGUAGGGUGCAAGCGUUGUCCGGAAUUAUUGGGCGUAAAGAGCUCGUAGGCGGUCUGUCGCGUCGUCUGUGAAAUCCCGGAGCUCAACUCCGGGUCUGCAGUCGAUACGGGCAAACUGGAGUACUGCAGGGGAGACUGGAAUUCCUGGUGUAGCGGUGAAAUGCGCAGAUAUCAGGAGGAACACCGGGGGCGAAGGCGGGUCUCUGGGCAGUAACUGACGCGGAGGAGCGAAAGCGUGGGGAGCGAACAGG